rnacentral:tRNA from 1 species
GCCACCAUAGCUCAAAUUGGUAGAGCAACGUGCUUGUACCACGUAGGUUGCAGGUUCGAUGCCUGCUGGUGGCU